UCAAACUUGGUCAUUUAGAGGAAGUAAAAGUCGUAACAAGGUUUUCGUAGGUGAACCUGCGGAAGGAUCAUUAGUGAAUUCUGGGAGUUCCUCCUAACCGGAGAAGGCCCGCUUACACUUAUUUCUCACACUCGUGAACUGUCUUGGUCGCUUGAGCCCUGUCAUGGGGUCCCGGCGCACCAUUUUUACCUUUAACCCUUUUUGCACUCGCAAAAGUCUUGAUAUUACAAGUUGAUCAUAACGAAAGAAAAACUUUCAGCAAUGGAUCUCUUGGCUCUCGCAUCGAUGAAGAACGCAGC
rnacentral:misc_RNA from 1 species